UACGUAGGUGGCAAGCGUUGUCCGGAUUUACUGGGCGUAAAGCGCACGUAGGCGGGACGGUGCGUCGGUGCUGAAAGCGCCAGGCUUAACCUGGCGAGGCGUGCCGAUACGACCGACCUCGAGGCAGACAGAGGGUGGCGGAAUUCCGGGUGUAGUGGUGAAAUGCGUAGAGAUCCGGAGGAACGCCGGUGGCGCAAGCGGCCACCUGGGUCUGACCUGACGCUGAGGUGCGAAAGCGUGGGGAGCAAACCGG
rnacentral:rRNA from 1 species